AUGCUUGCUUCAGCAGCACAUAUGCUAAAAUUGGAAUGAUACAUAGAAGAUUAAUGUGGCCUCUGUGCAAGGAUGGCAUGCAAAUUUGUGAAGUACUCCAUAUGAAU
rnacentral:snRNA from 1 species